AUCGCUUCUCGGCCUUUUGGCUAAGAUCAAGUGUAGUAUCUGUUCUUAUCAGUUUAAUAUCUGAUAUGUCCUCGAUGUGAGGACUUUAUAUUAAAUGGAUUUUUGGAACUGGGAGAUGGACUCGGAGCUUGCUCCAUCCACUCCACGCAUCGGCCUGGUAUUGCAGUGCCUCCAGGAGCGGUGCACCUCCC
rnacentral:snRNA from 1 species